GGCCCUAUCGUCUAAUGGCCAGGACGCUACCCUCUCACGGUAGAAAUCGGGGUUCGACUCCCCGUAGGGUCA
rnacentral:tRNA from 1 species